rnacentral:rRNA from 1 species
GUGUCAGCCGCCGCGGUAAGACAGAGGGUGCAAACGUUGUUCGGAAUUACUGGGCGUAAAGCGCGUGUAGGCUGCUUGGAAAGUCGGAUGUGAAAGCCCUGGGCUCAACCUAGGAAGUGCAUUCGAAACUUCUGAGCUGGAGUGCUGGAGAGGAAGGCGGAAUUCUCGGUGUAGAGGUGAAAUUCGUAGAUAUCGAGAGGAACACCGGUGGCGAAGGCGGCCUUCUGGACAGUAACUGACGCUGAGACGCGAAAGCGUGGGGAGCAAACAGGAUUAGAAACCCCCGUAGUCC